AUUGAACGCUGGCGGCAGGCCUAACACAUGCAAGUCGAACGAGUGGCGGACGGGUGAGUAAUGUCUGGGAAACUGCCCGAUGGAGGGGGAGAACUACUGGAAACGGUAGCUAAUACCGCAUACCCUCGGAUGUGCCCAGAUGGGAUUAGCUCGGAGGUGGGGUAACGGCUCACCUAGGCGACGAUCCCUAGCUGUGCUGAGAGGAUGACCAGCCACCCUGGAACAGAGACACGGGCCAGAGCCCUACGGGAGGCAGGAGGGGGGAAUAUGGCUCAAUGGGCGCAAGCCUGAGGCAGCCAUGCAGCGUGUAUGAAGAAGGCCUUCGGGUUGUAAAGUACUUUCAGCGAGGAGGCGUGACUCGCAGAAGAAGCACCGGCUAACUCCGGGCCAGCAGCCGCGGUAAUAC
rnacentral:rRNA from 1 species